GUUGGUACAGCUAUUGGAGCCUCUCGAGUUUGAUCCUGGCUCAGUAGGUCCUAACAAGGUAACCAGUAUUGGAUCCCCUAGAGUUUGAUCCUGGCUCAAUAAGUCUUAACAAGGUAACCAAAUUUUAUUCCCCUUCAUUUUUAUCCUGGCUCCCAAGGGGUUAGGAUGUGAAAGGGUGUUUUGCCCUCCUUAAUUUUUGGCCCCCCGCUGAAUUACUAAUUGGGGAGGGAAACGCCUAACCAGGGCAACAUUCCAAACCCAACCGGAAGGGGGGACCGCCCCCCCGGGACCGAAAACCCGGCCAAAACCCCACCGGGGGGAAGAGUUGGGAAUCCUCCCCAAUGGGCCAAAGGCCGGCCGAACCACCCCCCCGGGAUGGAGAAAGGUUUCCGAAUCUAAAACUUUUUUGUUAAGGAAAAACCAUUGGUGUAAUAACUGGUUGCACCCUGGAGGUACCUAACCCGAAAACCCCGGGUAAAUACCUGCCCACAACCCCGGGAAUUACUAGGGGGCCAGCCUUUAUCCGAAUUUAUGGGCCUAAAGGGCUCCGAAGGCGGUUCUUAAAUCCGAAGUGAAAACCCCCCGCUUCACCCGGGAAGGGCCUUGGAAACUGGAAACUUUGAUGGAGAAAAGAAAGUGGGAUCCCCGUGGUGCGGUGAAUGGCUAAGUGUGGAAAACAACGUGGCGAAAGCCAAUUUUCGUCGGACUGAACUUAAGAGCCGAGGGGGGGAUCAAAGGAUAAUUCCCUGGUACCACCCUAACAAUGCAAUUUAGGGGUUUCCGCCCCUUACUGCUAGAAAGCCCCUGGGAGACUGAUAACCGCCACGUUUUUUAUAUGUGUGAUGAGAAAGCCCGGGUCUCCACCGGAGAGUCUCUUUAGAAUGUGAAACACGAGAGCGGAGGAGGAGAGAGGAGUAUUACAUGUGUCGCGGUAAAAUGCAGAGAUAUGGAGAGGAACAACAGUGGAGAAGGACUCUCUGUUGUGUGUAACUGACUGAGAUGAGAGAGAGUGUGGAGAGAGCACGGGAUUAUAUCCCGGUAGUGUACACGCUGUAAAAGAAGAGUUAAAAGUGUUAGGGGGUUUGCCCCCUUUAGUUGCACAGAAAACGCAUUACACACUCCCCGGGGGGAGUACGGUCGCAAGUGAAAAUCUAAAAAAAAUUGAGGGGGGCGCGCACGCGCGGGGGCGCAUGGGUUUUAAUUAGAAGCAACGAGAAGCACUUUCCCAUCUCUACACCUCCUGAGACAACCCGAGAUAUAGCCUUUUCCUUUGGGGGACAAAGUGACAGGUGGUGCAUGGUUGUCGUCAGCUCGUGUCGUGAGAUGUUGGGUUAAGUCCCGCAACGAGCGCAACCCUUAAUCUUAGUUGCCAUCAUUAAGUUGGGCACUCUAAGGUGACUGCCGGUGACAAACCGGAGGAAGGUGGGGAUGACGUCAAAUCAUCAUGCCCCUUAUGACUUGGGCUACACACGUGCUACAAUGGACAGAACAAAGGGCUGCGAGACCGCGAGGUCUAGCCAAUCCCGCAAAUCUGUUUUCAGUUCGGAUAGCAGUUAGCAACUCGAAGGAAGGAAAAAAAAAUUAACCGUUAUUGGAUCUCAUCAAGUUUCAUCCAAUACGUUCAAGUGGUAACAAGGCAACCCCUAUCGCACCCUGUAGAGUUUGAUCCCGGCUCAGUAAGUCGUAACAAGGUAACCAGUAUGGUCCUCUAGAGUCUC
rnacentral:rRNA from 1 species